rnacentral:rRNA from 1 species
UACGUAGGUGGCGAGCGUUGUCCGGAUUUACUGGGCGUAAAGAGCGCGCAGGCGGUCGUAUAAGUCGCGUGUGAAAGCCCCCGGCUCAACUGGGGAGGGUCACGCGAUACUGUUCGACUCGAAGGCAGGAGAGGGAAGUGGAAUUCCCGGUGUAGUGGUGAAAUGCGUAGAGAUCGGCAGGAACACCCAGGGGGAAACCAGCCGACUGGGCAAGUGCUGACGCUGAGGUGCGAGAGCGUGGGGAGCGAACCGG